GGCUGGUCCAAGUACAGUGGUAUUUACAACUAAUUGACCACAACCAGUUACAGAUUUUGUUGUGCCCUCUCCACUCCUACUGUGUCACUUGACUAGCCUUAA
ensembl:misc_RNA Y_RNA Y RNA